GUUUUGCUUUUGUCCAUCAGUAAAUCAUCCUGCAUGGUUUGCGCAGCUGAAACGGGAAAAAAGAGAGACGCGUUAUUGUCAAUGUGAUCAUGAAUGUCCCUCGCUGAAGCGGGCGGGUGUUUCACUUGCGAAAAUCCAUCGCCACCGCUACUAGCCAAUUGCAAUGCAAAUCCAUAAUCUCCCAUUUAGAAGAACAGGUCAGGCUGUUGGGUGGGGAAUAGGGAAGGUGUCGAGCAAGGUCUCUAAAAAUACUGUGAGAGCGUCUUCAACCUUUCAGAUGUCUUGGUUCCUUUUCUGUAUUAGUGAGAGAUGUGCUUAUAAGACAGAAAAGACAGCAAUUUCGCCACGUCUCUUUUCCCUUCACCGGAACUCAGAGCGUUCGCCCUGCAAUGAGAAACUGAUUCUGGUUCCUGUUUUUUCCCAAGCACCACCCUCCCCCACUUAUUUGCAUACGUCAAUAAAUACUGCUGCGUCCUUCAGCAAGGUUAAAAAGACACCGCACACACGACCCUUUCUUCUCCCUUCCCCAGCUCGAACACUUUUUAAAAAAACAAAACAAAAAAACCAGUAUUAGCCCUCUUGAUUAGCAAACUGCCUUCUUGCGUUGGUAAUUGUUUCAUUUAGCUGCAGCGAACCACGAGGGAGGAAUCCUUGGCAUUUGUUAGAAGGACUCAGCUGCACAAUCAUUCUCUGGCCUCCCAGUAGCUGCAGCUACUCCAUUUUGUUAGGAGACAGUUAAUUUUAAAAAAAACGUUUUUAAAGAAGUAAAAACCUACUGAAACGUUUGGAAGUGCUUGCUUCUUGUUACUCUAAGGAUUAUGGUUUUUCUGCUUAUUCCCCAAUUUUCUUGUCUCCAAUUCUGCCGCACAAGAGAUUUCUUGGCAUCGCAGUGCUUCAGGUCUCAACAGGAGCCUAAGAAUUUCUCUGCAGAGUGGAGAAAUGCUUCUGGUUGGAUUUAAGGUUGAUUAUGUGACCGCUCUGGCAAAAGCACUUUGACAACUGUAAGAUGAGAGGGCAUGCGCACACAGGGAACUGUGGGGGCUGAAGUCCUUCACAAGGUACUCGAUCUGACUUCAGCACGUUCAGCCGGGAAAGGAGGAAGUCUCACAAAUACAGAUUCUGAGGGGAAAAGGUUGUGUCCUGAUUACAUUAUAUCCUCCUAACCAAUCUAAAUCACGAGUUGUUGAAAUAAAAGGGAAAAAAAUAAACUGGUUUGUCAACUUGCCAUAGGAAGCCAGGAUAAAGGGAAACUGAAUUGUAGUAUUCAGAAUAAAUAAACCAAGCAGAGCUACCUUAAAUGGUUAGAAUGGUAAUGACUGGGUAGCUAGCAAUAGGAAUCCUACUAGAAAGAGACUGGGGUGGAGAGGAAUAGGCAAGGGAGGGGGAACUACUGGAGAAUGUUAGAUACUUAAAAUCUGACCAUACUUAAACACUUAAAUAAUUUUUUAAAUUUUUCAGCAGAGAUGGCAUAAAAGAAUCACUUUUAGUUUAGAAUAAAAAACACCUUAAUGUUAAAUGUGAUAUCAACCUUAGAGGUCAGGUAAAAAUAGAUUUUAGUCAUAAAUUUUUGACAUCCACCAGAUUUCUUGUAUUUUAGUUUUCAAUGCAGGAACAAAUCACUUAUUUUAAGAUUGUACCUGAUAAGCUCUGAACCAACUCACCUCCUUAUUUUUACUUGUCAAAAUAAAAGUUCACCUUGCAUUAUUCAUACAAAGGAUUACUCAAAUAAAAUUCAAC
rnacentral:lncRNA from 1 species